rnacentral:rRNA from 1 species
GACGAACGCUGGCGGCGUGCUUAACACAUGCAAGUCGAACGGAAAGGCCCUGCUUUUGUGGGGUGCUCGAGUGGCGAACGGGUGAGUAACACGUGAGUAACCUGCCCUUGACUUUGGGAUAACUUCAUGAAACUGGGGCUCAUACCGGCUAGGAGCUCCUGCUGCAUGGUGGGGGUUGGAAAGUUUCGGCGGUUGGGGAUGGACUCGCGGCUUAUCAGCUUGUUGGUGGGGUAGUGGCUUACCAAGGCCUUGACGGGUAGCCGGCCUGAGAGGGUGACCGGCUACAUUGGGACUGAGAUACGGCCCAGACUCCUACGGGAGGCAGCAGUGGGGAAUAUUGCACAAUGGGCGGAAGCCUGAUGCAGCAACGCCGCGUGCGGGAUGACGGCCUUCGGGUUGUAAACCGCUUUCGCCUGUGACGAAGCGUGAGUGACGGUAAUGGGUAAAGAAGCACCGGCUAACUACGUG